GGAUUUUUUUGGAUAAUUUUUAUUUUUUAUUUGGGAGUAAAGGGUGGGAGGUAAAGGUUUAGGGGGAAAAUAAAAAGUUUUGGGGAGUAAAAGUUUGAGGAAAAGUAAAUAAGGGGGAGUAAAAUAUUGGAGGGAAAUAUUUUUAAAAUAUUUUUUUUCUUUUUGGGAGAGGGGGUUUGGGGUAGAUGAGGGGUGGGAUGGGAAGGGAGUAAAAGUUUUAGGGGAAAAGUGGGAGGGAGUAAAAAUUUUGGGGGAAAAUAAAAAGUUUUGAGGGUUUUUGGGAGUAAAAUUUUGAAGAAAAGUAAAUGGGAGAGAAAAUUUUUGGUGGGAAAUGGAUUUUGGGUAGAUGGGGGGUUGGUAUGGGAGGGGAGUAAAAGUUUUAG
rnacentral:lncRNA from 1 species